rnacentral:lncRNA from 1 species
GUGUGUAUAAAUCAAUCAGCAAUGCCACCUCAUCAGAUUAGUGACGUGGCAGUGAUUAACUGGGGAGAGAGAUGAAAUUUUAAAUGAUUAAAUUUUGGCAGGUAAAAUACUUGAAUUAAGGAAUACAUGGACCAAAUUUUUAAUGACCCUUAAUUGCACGGACUAAACAAAUAUAAAAUCCUUAUAAGAAUCAAAAACUUAUCUAACCUAUAAAUACUUUUUUUUUUUACAGCUAGUCAAAUAAGUUAAAAGAUACUUACCUUAGAUAUGAAUGAAAUCUUUCAACAAAUAUACAUACCAG